GUUUUUAUCAUUGCAUGUGUCUAUAAUACUAUUUAAUUCUGUUAAUUUUUUUUUCCAACUUGCUGAUUUGGUUUUUUUUAUUCGUAGCUUUUGUUUUGCAAUAGCUUAUUGUCAGGUCUCUAACUUCAAUUUUGAAAUUGUCCCACAGUGUGUCAUGGUCAGUUCUCAUUUUUGCUUUGUUUUUAAAUUUUUUAAUUAUUUUCCUAAUUAUUUCAACAUAGUCUUCACUUUGAAGUACACUUCUGUUUAGUUUCCAGUAUUCUCUUCCUUUUUGGCCUCUGUUUAGAUUGAUUUUUAAAAAAACACAGUUGUGAUCUGUGUAUUGUAAUACUAUUGGUCUAAUAGCACAUGAAACACAGUUUUUGAAUACUCCAGGAGCUAUUAAAAAGUAAUCUAUUCUUCUUGACUCGGAUCUGUCUUUUCUGCUCCAUGUAAAUUGAAUUUUAUUUGGAUUUCUGAUUCUCCACACAUCAUUGAGCUUUAGGGACUUUAUAAGUUUAUCUAAGUUGUGAACUUUUUUUCUUUUUUUGUUGUUGCUUAGUUUUACUCUUUUUUUUACUCUAGAUAAAAUUUCAUUAUGAUCUCCUCCUUAAUAAGUUGACCCAAACUUUUUUCUUCUAUUAGUGCAUGGACAUUUUUAAAAAAGAUAUUUCUGCUUUUUGGAUUAUUUGGUGCAUAAAUAUUAACUGUUGUUAUUAUAGUGUCAUUUAUUUCAAUAUUAACAAGUAAAAGUCUUACUUCUUUAUCUUUAUAGUCAUCAAUAAUUUUAAAGUUUAGAUUUUUUUUCAGCCAUAUGGCAAUACCUCUUGAGUUGCUUGAACCAUUACUUAGUAAAAGUUUGCCUUCAAAUUCAGUGUUUAAAUUGUUUAUCAAAUCAUAUGUAAAGUGUGUUUCUUGCAUGAGAAGAAUGUCACAUUUUUGGGAUUUUGACCAUUCAAUCAAUCUUUUUCUUUUAUCAGGUUGAUGUAGGCCUUUACAAUUAACUGUACAGAUAUGAAGAUGUUUGUUUAAUACCAUAGUUGGAUAAGAAGACAGCUCUGACUGGUUUUGAAUGAUGGAAUGUCACCAGAUCAAUGAAAACUGGAUUUUUAUCAAUGUAGCUUUAUAAGAAACAUUUAACAGUUUGCUUGAUAAUGAUUCUUUGAUAAAAGCAGUUUUGGUGCCAAUUAAACGUUUUGUAUGUUACAGUUUCUUUACUUUUUAACCCAGAGAAAAUUUGAAUAAAGUGGACGACUUUCUAAAAAUAUACAGGCAAUGAGAAAAGAAAAAUGAAAAGAAUUAUGUACAGUGACAUUUUUUUUCUUUUUGUUAUAUGAUAAAAAAUCUACGUCGUUUA